GCGGCAAGACGGAAAGACCCCGUGAACCUUUACUAUAGCUUGACACUGAACAUUGAGCCUUGAUGUGUAGGAUAGGUGGGAGGCUUUGAAGUGUGGACGCCAGUUUGCAUGGAGCCGACCUUGAAAUACCACCCUUUAAUGUUUGAUGUUCUAACGUGGACCCGUGAUCCGGGUUGCGGACAGUGUCUGGUGGGUAGUUUGACUGGGGCGGUCUCCUCCUAAAGAGUAACGGAGGAGCACGAAGGUUGGCUAAUCCUGGUCGGACAUCAGGAGGUUAGUGCAAUGGCAUAAGCCAGCUUGACUGCGAGCGUGACGGCGCGAGCAGGUGCGAAAGCAGGUCAUAGUGAUCCGGUGGUUCUGAAUGGAAGGGCCAUCGCUCAACGGAUAAAAGGUACUCCGGGGAUAACAGGCUGAUACCGCCCAAGAGUUCAUAUCGACGGCGGUGUUUGGCACCUCGAUGUCGGCUCAUCACAUCCUGGGGCUGAAGUAGGUCCCAAGGGUAUGGCUGUUCGCCAUUUAAAGUGGUACGCGAGCUGGGUUUAGAACGUCGUGAGACAGUUCGGUCCCUAUCUGCCGUGGGCGCUGGAGAACUGAGGGGGGCUGCUCCUAGUACGAGAGGACCGGAGUGGACGCAUCACUGGUGUUCGGGUUGUCAUGCCAAUGGCACUGCCCGGUAGCUAAAUGCGGAAGAGAUAAGUGCUGAAAGCAUCUAAGCACGAAACUUGCCCCGA
rnacentral:rRNA from 1 species